rnacentral:sRNA from 2 species
GUCUCAUAUCUUCCUUUCCUGGUAGCAUUUGAUUUACUUUCCCCAUUUCCCCGCCUUCGUCAACAUCUCAGAUAUUUCUUACCAGAGCUCAUGUAAAUCACUAAAAUACUCUUGUAAGGAGCAGGGUGAAAUAAUACUCUCAACUCGCCCCAGAAGUGGAUCGAUGAAUCCUCUUGAAGAUCUCUCUCUCUCUCCCUCCACGCUUCUGAUUGGAUCAGAUCCCCUUGGCCGGUAGAUUCCUUACCUUCCUACCCUAACCCCCCUGAUAGAGGAUUAGGUGGUUGGGGGCGAGACUAACCAGAUGGACACUCUGGGCCCAUGCAUUGGAUUCUGCAGACUGAUGGAACAUUCGUUUGGGACCUUCCUACGUGCGUUGAGCAGGGUAAUUAAAAUGAACCUUUGAUUGUAUGGCACCGGAAAUAAGACAAGACGAAGUCAGAAACAGUAUGAUGGUGUAGGAGUUGUUGAAUUUAGCCUCCUUCGUUUCCCGCAGGACUUUCAUCUCUCUGUUGGAUGGCCAGGAUGUUGGACACACAACAACUAAUGAGUUCCAAUCGAUGGUAACCGAGAUCCACAAGGGGGCUUCUCCAAGAUCUAAAACAAGCUGUUCUCCCGAAUACAGGGGAUAUAAAACUGAAAACAUGUAAAAGGUAAUGAUUGAUCCAAAAUCGGUAUAGAAAUGUGGCCGUCCUCAGUAUCUAUGCCGUAGCAAAUACAAAUCACGGGAAAUAUGUUUUAAUAGCAUAUAUAUUCAAAGAGUCGGACUAAAUUUUAACACUCCAACUAUGUUUUUCGUCUCCAUACUGAAUCCCUUCAAUCCAGUUCUUCAUCUCGAGAGCUACUUUUCCGGCUUCUUCAUUUUCUUUCAAACCACAAUCCACCGUACGUCCUUUCCAGCUGAUGGUGCGGACGGGACUAACAAUCGCCGCAGUCCCUGCUCCGAAUACCUCGAUCAUCCUACCCUCAUCAGCAGCUUGGGCAAUUUCCGACAUUGUCAACUUACGCUCUGAUAUCGUCCAACCUCUGGGGCCCAGUCUCUCCCGGGCAAGAGUGAGGACUGAAUCUCUGGUGACUCCCUCCAAAAUCGUUCCAUCCAGCGGAGCCGUGAUGAGUUCAUUUUGCCUAGUUUCUUUGUUUUUUAACGCAACAAAAAGAUUCAUGGUCCCAACCUCCGUGACGUACUCCUCUUCUCCGAAUAGCCACAGAUUCUGUUGGUGGCCUUUCUUUGCCGCUUCGGUCUGAGGGACAAUGCAUGGAGCAUAAUUUGCACCCAGCUUUUUGUCCCCGACUCCGCCAGGCCAUGCACGAACCGCGUAAUCUGUUGCCUCUAGAGAAAUAGCCUUGAAGCCGGUUGGGUAGUAAGGACCAACAGGGCUAGCAAUGACGAAGAGCAGGGCAGAGGAAGGAGCGCUAACACCCAACGUCUCCUGCGUACCAAUCAUUGUGGGUCUUAGAUACAACGAAUAACCACGAGUUCUAUGGGAGAUAUAGUCAAUCAGUAUAAGCAAAAGAACAAAUCUAAUGUCGAAUUCCAUUAGCAAUCCAAUCAACAAAGGUUACUUACUGGGGGAUAAAUCUGCUGUCUAAUUUAACAAGCUCACUGAUGAGCUUUAUCGCAGCAUCUUCAUCGAGUGUUGGAAGCGCGAUACGCUUCGAUGAUCUAUUUAAUCGUGCCAUAUUCAUAUCUGGUCUGAAUAACCGGAUGCCACCAUCCUUGUCUUUGUAUGCCUUCAUUCCCUCAAAACACUCAAACGCGUAAUGGAAAACGCAGGUCGCAGGAUUGAGACUGAGGUUUUGAAAGGGAACGAUGCUUGGAGACAACCAGCCAUCCUUGGUAUUCCAUUUUACCAUAAGCAUGUGGUCAGUGAAUGUCGACCCGAAAACGAGUUUUUCUGGGGGAGUGAGUUUGCUGGGGGAGGGAUUUUUCGUAAUUGAUAGCUUGGAGACGUCAACUCCAGGUAAUCCAUCGCUCCGGCUUGCAAAAUUCGAGCUGUAUUUCCUUUGGCAGGGAAUGGAAUAUCUCCAUGCGGAGCUACUGCUGCUAAGUGCAGGAAUUCCCCUACGAGUUAGGGCGGACACAACAGACUUCAUGGUUCUUCACUGGACUCAAUUGGUUUUCGAAAGGGAGAAUACGAGAAAUGGGGGA